rnacentral:rRNA from 1 species
UGGUACUUGUACCGACUGGAUGAGCAGCGAACGGGUGAGUAACGCGUGGGGAAUCUGCCUUUGAGCGGGGGACAACAUUUGGAAACGAAUGCUAAUACCGCAUAAAAACUUUAAACACAAGUUUUAAGUUUGAAAGAUGCAAUUGCAUCACUCAAAGAUGAUCCCGCGUUGUAUUAGCUAGUUGGUGAGGUAAAGGCUCACCAAGGCGAUGAUACAUAGCCGACCUGAGAGGGUGAUCGGCCACAUUGGGACUGAGACACGGCCCAAACUCCUACGGGAGGCAGCAGUAGGGAAUCUUCGGCAAUGGACGAAAGUCUGACCGAGCAACGCCGCGUGAGUGAAGAAGGUUUUCGGAUCGUAAAACUCUGUUGGUAGAGAAGAACGUUGGUGAGAGUGGAAAGCUCAUCAAGUGACGGUAACUACCCAGAAAGGGACGGCUAACUACGUGCCAGCAGCCGCGGUAAUACGUAGGUCCCGAGCGUUGUCCGGAUUUAUUGGGCGUAAAGCGAGCGCAGGUGGUUUAUUAAGUCUGGUGUAAAAGGCAGUGGCUCAACCAUUGUAUGCAUUGGAAACUGGUAGACUUGAGUGCAGGAGAGGAGAGUGGAAUUCCAUGUGUAGCGGUG